ACAUAGGUUUUUAUUGCACAUAUGCUUUUGUUUAAAGGAGAUUUAGCCGUUAUUGAAGUUGCUCUGUCGCUUUACAGAUGUCUGACACUUCAAUGAGUUUAAACCCAGACAGAAGACGGCGAAUUAGACGAACGGCACUCAGAGGCCUUAUGACUCCCAUCCUCAAUACUAUCAUCCCGCCUCACAGGCAGGAUCACUUUGGCAAACAAUCUGUGGUGAGGAAGGCCUGAACUCCCUAACAAGCUAACGAACCUGAACACGAAGAACGAUCCGAGAAUGAAAGCAUCUGUUCCUCGCAUUGUUCUGGGAAACGAGGCCCCUUCAUCCUCCACUUUGGGUGUUUACCACACAAACAAGACAACAGCGAGCUUACUGGUCCAUGUCGGCGUCGAGGGAUUUACCUCCGUCAAUCCCAAUCUACCUCAGACGAAAUCCCAAAUUUAUGAGCACAUUUGCCGGCUUAAUCCAACCGCCAAAAGAGAUUAGCGACUGGAUACUUGUCAACGGUGGCCAGGGAAACCCAUGCAACAGGGUGUGGCGACGGCGGCGGAAUAGGUGGUCUCCGCUCUUGUUGGUUCGUCUGAUUUAUUGGUAUCCCUCACCGCGCACUGGGGGGGGGGGGUUCGUCUUUUAUCAGACUGUCAGGGCGCGCGGGUGGCGACGCAAGUAGGAGGGCUGUAAACGAAAAGGGAGGUGGGAAGGUGGUUAUUUCUGCUGAUAGGGCAUAUUUUCCGUCAACUGUUUCUGGCAGAUGAGAGGGUGAGAUAAUGCCUCCGCCAAGGAAAGUCUCUCGGCUCUUCAGCGUCCACCCGAGCGUCUCUGGCCCCUUUUCCUUCUCCUCCUCUUCCUUCUUCUUCUUCUUCUUCUCCUUUCUGGUCUUUUCUUUUUUCAAAGUAAUUACUGCGGGAGCGUGCUCAGUAAUUACAAAGCGCCCCGUCACGCUCAUGUCAGGUAAUGGCAUCGCUUGCUCUGCCGGCGGCGAUAACACAGGUGAGACGAAUCGGAGAAAACAGAUCUGAUGGUAUUGCUCUGGUAAAGGAAUGGCAUUUUGAUGGAACGGCGUGCGGGGGAGGGGUUAUUGAUAGGCCGCCUUUGGUCUCCACAGGUAUAAGCAUGGGCCCCUCCUAGCAAAAAUGCGUUUGUUGCAUGAAAUGAGCUUAAAUAUCAACCUCUAAUCGACCAAAACGUCCCAAAAAAAUAAGGAGUCUCGUCAACUGGGAUUCGCCGUGUUCUACCAGUGACUUGGACACGGCGGCGACCUGCAGAUCCCAGCUUCCCUAAAGAUGGUGGCACGUAAUUAGCAAGGCGCGUCUCCUUGAGAGCUUGACCCCAUUUGUUUGCAAUUUCAUUACAAUUCCCAGGAGCCGCCACGAGUUAACGCUAAACGCUCACCAGAGGGGGGGAUCGGGGUGGGCCGGCAUUUGGCGAAGAAGUAUCAACGGCGCUCGAUAACACUCCUUUCAUGUUAACAAAUGCCAUUACUCCAGUCUGUGCACUGGUCUUUUUUUUGUUUUUGGGGAUAAACCUUUGGAAGAGGAACUUUACUCAUCACCCACGCCACCAAUGGGGCCUGACGGUGCGGGAAGCAUCCAGGGUCAGUACCGAGUAACUCGGUGCCCCAACAACUAGCUGGAGGAAAACCGAACCAUCCUGAGAAAACAGGAGUCUCCAGAAAAAAACUGUAGUGCCCAGACAAAAUCCACGCUUGCACAAGGAGAACACGCAAACUUCACACAGUAAGGUACCAUGCAGCAAUCGAAUCAGGAACUCCUGCAGCUUCUCAACCAAGGCUCAAGACUUCUGGUUGAGGAAUCUAGAGGCACCUUGCACGCAUCGGACGCGUCCACCUGGAUUCAUGCAGAUUCCUGCAAUUCUGCCUUUUUCCUGCACACAACCCAAGUUGGAAGCAUUUUGAUGUCAACAGCAAAGCAAGAAAUAAGAAACACAUUUUUAUCUCUGGCACGCUCAGGGCCAGGCGAGGAGCGAGCCCCCGCAUCGCGUGUGACAGGGUGCAUUGUGGGGAAGCUCUUUAUCCCCCAUACGCACAAACCAGCACUCCGCAGAGGUACGUCCCCGUUUGAGGAUACAGUCGCUGCAGGUUGGACCCAUUAGGGAAGCUUAGGAACUCAAGAUGCAACAAUUUGGGAGCAAAGGAGGAGACGGGAGAGGAAAAAGUAGAGCCAUGACUCAGCGUUUUUUAAGAUUCAAUGGAUGAUCCGGACACCGUGAAGGUGCUGCCGAAAAUUCAGACCAAAGUUCAUGAAAAAAAAUAAAGAUAGGAUGGGGUGACAUUUAAAAACAAGCGCUCCAUUUUUCUGUCAAAUAUCAAAGAACCGGAGGGGUCUUUCUUUCAUUUUUAAUCUUUUUUUUUUUUAAUGGCCCGCAAACUUCAUAUUGUUUUCGCAAUUCUUCACGAUGACAUCACAGUAGGAAAAAAUGCAGUGAUGGGCUGGAUUCAGAAUUUAAAAGGAAAGCUACUUGGGGGAGAAAAAAGUUGUAAAAUUUUACGAUGUUAGCAUGACGAGCUAGCAUGACGAGCUAGCAUAAGUGGCACAUCCCUGUUGCUCACACACUUUUGACCGGAACAUUGUAAAAAUGGAAUAAAUGAAUCCUUGGCUCAAGAUGAUCGAAAAUAUAUAACAUAAACUUUGACUAUAGCAGAGAUGUGGGUGUGGUUAUUAAAAAACCUUGGUUGCUAAGGAAAUAUCAAAAUUUACUUUUGCCCAUUCAUCUAAAAAUUACAUCUAUCUGCUCGUAAACCCAAGGCGACCCAAAAAUGAAAUGGUUGCUAUGGGGAUAAAACAAAAACAAAGAGCCGCCAUUUUGAAAAAAGAAGGUGUUUUUUUUUCAUGUAAAUAUUGUGUGACGCCGGUGAGGUGAUGAAAGAUGAGAGUUGGCGCGCACAGCUCUUUUUUUUUUCUUACGCUGUCAACGCCGCUUUCAAUACUUUGUGGUUAGGGACAGAGGGCCGAUCCCAAGAAUCCUAUCGCUUAAACGGCUGAGCGUUUUACAAGGAAAACGUUUCCAAAUGCCUCUCAAAAAA